CCGACUGCUCACCAGGUGCCAGUUGCUGCCACACCUCAGCGAGUGAGGCACUGACCCCACCUCCGGGCAGCACAUCGGCCCUGGGCUCCAAGGUCUAACAGGGAGCCCUAGGAAAGUCCUGCACUCCUGCACUCGGCACACACACCAAAGACAGACCUAGGACUGUGCUUCCACAUCUGCACCCACCAGUGCAGGAGCAUCAUCACUCCAGGUCCUUGGAUGGGUGACAUCAGGGGGAAAGUGAAUGGCACGACAUUGAAGCAGCUGUCAGCUGAUCCUUGUAGUUCCAGCCCGACCCUGGAGAGAAAGCCACAUUAUUCCUUUGGGUGGAGGAGUCCAGGGAGCCAGGAGGGACCCUUUUCCUACC
rnacentral:lncRNA from 1 species